AGGACUGUAAAGCGAGGCGGCCUUAGCUUCGGGAGCAGGGGGUCGGAGGUUCGAAUCCUCUCAGCCCGACCA
rnacentral:tRNA from 1 species